GUAGCUCAGCUGGAUAGAGCAGCCGCCUUCUAAGCGGCCGAUUGCAAGCUCCGCCGGCACGCUUUGUCCUUU
rnacentral:tRNA from 1 species